AUGUAUCCCGUACACGCCGGUUCCUCCGCGCCGUCCGCACCCACAUGACGGCUGCUCGCUACGUGUUUGUUAGCA
rnacentral:sRNA from 1 species